rnacentral:rRNA from 1 species
AUUGAACGCUGGCGGCAGGCCUAACACAUGCAAGUCGAGCGGAACGGCGGACGGGUGAGUAAUGCCUAGAAAGCUGCCUGGUAGUGGGGUAUAACGUCCGGACACGGGCGCUAAUACAGCAUACUAUCAGAUGAGCCUAGGUAGGAUCAGCUAGUUGGUGAGGUAAAGGCCUACCAAGGCGACGAUCCUGAACUUGUCUGAGAGGAUGAUCAGGCACACUGGAACUGAGACACGGUCCAGACUCCUACGGGAGGCAGCAGUGGGGAAUAUUGGACAAUGGUCGAAAGCCUGAUCCAGCCAUGCCGCGUGUGUGAAGAAGGUCUUCGGAUUGUAAAGCACUUUAAGUUGGGAGGCGUUACCAACAGAAUAAGCACCGGCUAACUUCGUGCCAGCAGCCGCGGUAAUAC